ACGAGGAACAACCCCAGUGGCGGGGCCAGCUCUGGAGCUCUGGAUUCAGCCCCCGCAGGAACUCCGGAGCUCUCUGUCUGCAGGAGCCUUGAUGCUCUGGGGUGGG
rnacentral:pre_miRNA from 1 species